CCUACGGGUGGCAGCAGUGGGGGAUCUUGGACAAUGGGCGGAACUCUGAUCCAGCGACGCCGCGUGGGUGAAGAAGGUCCUCGGCGCGUAAAGCUCUGUUUGUAGGGAAGAAAAGGACGGUACGUGACUACGCCUCCCCUGCCAUUUUCGGGCCAGCAACCGCGGUAACACGAAGGGGGCCAGCGUUGUCCGGAUUUAUUGGGGGUAACGGGUGCGUAGGUGGUUUGAUAAGUUAGAGGUGAAAUGUCCGGGCUCAACCCGGGAGUUGCGUCUAAUACUGGUGGACUUGAGAGUAGAUGAGGUAGGCGGAAUGUAUGGUGUAGCGGUGAAAUGCUUAGAGAUCAGACAGAACACCGAUUGCGAAGGCAGCUUACCAAGCUGUAUCUGACGUUGAGGCACGAAAGCGUGGGUAGCAAACAGGAUUAGAUACCCCUGUAGUC
rnacentral:rRNA from 1 species